rnacentral:rRNA from 1 species
CAAUAGCGUAUAUUAAAGUUGUUGCAGUUAAAAAGCUCGUAGUUGGAUCUCUGAUCGAGACAUCAGGUCGGGUCCGAGAGGAUCAUGUACUUUGAUUUUGUUUUGAUCAUCCUUGGGGAGAGCAUUUCUGGCAUUCAGUUGUCGGGAUUGGGAUCCUCAUCGUUUACUGUGAAAAAAUUAGAGUGUUCAAAGCAGGCCUCGGCCUCUGAAUACAUUAGCAUGGAAUAAUAAGAUAGGACUUUGGUGGUCUAUUUUGUUGGUUUGCACGCCAAAGUAAUGAUUAAUAGGGAUAGUUGGGGGUAUUCGUAUUCAAUUGUCAGAGGUGAAAUUCUUGGAUUUAUGGAAGACGAACUACUGCGAAAGCAUUUACCAAGGAUGUUUUCAUUAA